CUGGGGGCGCGGGGGCCGCGGGGGGCGCCGGUGCACCCGGCACGCUGCGGGCAUCUCUGUCGGGUUGCUCCGGGCCGCUGGGAUCCACGUCCUGGCUCAUGGCUGCGGCCAGCACCAUGUGAGGCGAGGCCGGCCCCGGGCUCGAGGCGAGAGAGCGCACGCAAAGGGCGGCCCCGGGGCACGGGCGCUCACUGGCCGGGGUCCCCGUGCCCAGUCCCCUUGUCCUUCCCGGUGGCGCGGGGAGGAGACGCGAGGGGCGGGGAGGAGGCAGUCCCGGCGGCGCCGCCUCCUCCUCCUCCUCCUCCCGCCGCUCCCGCUAGCCCAGCCGGGCCACGCGGGGGCGGGGGCCAGGGGGCGUCUCCCCGGCCGGCGGGUGCCGCUCGGCCCCCGGGGGACUGCUCAGCGCCGGUGUGAGCCGCGGAGCUCUGCCCUUGGACCCUGAGCGCGGCCAGAGGAGAGGGAACGCGGCGCGCGCCAACCGCCACCUUGCGCCCUCACGGUCCCCGGCCCGGCUCUCCGCAGUGCAGCGCAACCGCGUGAGGCGGCGAGACGCACUCCAGCCCGCCGCCGGCCGCCGCGCUCGCGCCUCUGCCCGGAGCUCUGCCGCCUCGGGGUUGUCCCCGGGGACCGCGCGCGCGACCUCGCGCGCUCCUGCCAAGCGGGCCGGACGGAGCGCGCCCCGGGGCGUCCGCGCGCAUCGCCAGGGCGAAGUGAGUGGGGCUUGGCACCUUCCGGCGUCUGGAGCCCGGCCAGCGCCACUCUCGUCCGAAGGGCCCGACCCGGCGGGGGGAAAGUCCGGAACCUCCCCCACUUCGGUGGGACGUCUAACCUCCGGUCUUACAUGACCAGGCCCGAGGGCUCUCCACACUGGCAGUUCCGGCUGCUGAUUUCAGGGAUCUCCGGAAGCAGCCAGUGGGACCGCCGUGGUUUCUCUUCAUUUUUCCCGCUACGAUCCCGGGAGCGCAAAGACAAAACCAUGUAUAUGUUUUAUUCUUGUUAUGUAUUGGCGAGAUCUCAGUAGAAAUGUAAAGGAUGAAAAGGAGAGAGUUCGCUGACAUCGCGCCGCCACCAUCACUGCCUGUGUAGUUCCGUUCGCUGUCCCGGCGCCCGUGUGCGCCAGUUCACCUGCACACGCCAGCUCACAGCUGAGGCCGCGGGCAUCUGCGGUGAGGAGCCACGCUCAAGGUGCAGCUUAAUGUCCUGGCCCGCGAGUUGGAGGUCUGGGGAGGCACCCGGUGCCACAGAAACAUCUAGGAGCUGGGCAGAGCUCGUGGAGAGUGGUUAUCCAGAAGAUCCUUACCGUGCGUUGGGCGCACUAGCUUUCCAAAUCCUGACAUUGGCCGCCCGGAGGAAGCAAAGAAAAAGCAUCCCUUGGGUGCCUUGGAAGCCAGAGCGAAGGCCAGAGUGUCCCGUGGCCUGGAAAGAAGUUUGCUGGGGGUCUCAAAGCCCACACGUCCUUCUCCCACAGCCACGUGAAGGAACAUUCUGGGGAUGCGUUCUCUGGAACGUGGCAACUAACGGAAUUCCCUGAAAAAUGGUUUCUUCUCUCCCCAGACUGAAGAAUGACAGAGAUCCCCAGCUGGGGUUGCAGCCAUUUAAGAAACUGUAGCACUCUUGCUUUUGUGCCCUCCCCAGCCCCACCCCGCCAGGGAGCGCUUCACUGUUACCAAAGUGAGAAAAAAGGCUGGAUUAAAAAACUGAGGCUCAAAGAAGUUCAGCCACCUGACCAGCUAUUAAGUGGUGGUGCUGUAGAUCGAACCCCAGUCUUCAUCACCCCUGGGAUCGGACUUUUAACUACUCUGUAUGGUGGCAUGGUGCAUCUUGGUAUUAUGGGCUUUUGAGACCAGAAGUUUCUCUGCUAAAUCCUGGCUGGAUAUCUCUGAUAUUUGUCUCCAAUCUCUCUCUCUUUCAUCUCCCAUCUCUCCACAUGACCUGGAUUCUCUUUUCCAUCCCCCUGAGGUAAACCAGAGAUUUAUGUAUUUUGUUGUGUUUUUCAAAGAACCAGCAUUUGGAUAUGUUUACUAUUUCUGCUGUUUUCUUCUACUUUUUAGUAGAAAAAACACAUCAGUGAAUUUUUGCCACAUCAGCGAAUUGAUGAGGAUCCGGUGGUCUGGGGCCCUGCCAGGACAUCCCCUCCGAAGUAAAAGACGAAUUAUUGUGUCUUGCGUCAUCUACCACCAAAAUGAAACACAACCUUUGCUUGCCCUCUUUGAGUCCUGGAGGCAGCAUAUUUAUUUUACACUUGGGAUACUGCUCUGAGCCAGUCAUGUAUCAGGUGACACAUAAGGCUGCCAGUUGUGUUAUGUUUUUUGUUUUUAAGUAAUCUCUAUACCCAGAGUGGGGCUCGAACACGUGACCCCGAGAUCAAGAGCCGCGCGCUCUACUGACUAAGCCCAGCCAGGCGCCCCAAGGCUGCCCGUGUUGAACAAGGCACCGAGACCAGGGGAGGACUCUGCAGUAGGUCCGGGCUGUGGGGCAGGUCACCCUGUUGCUUGGGUCACAUGACACAGGAGACCCUAUGGUGCUAGAGGGGUUUGUGGAAGGAAAAGAUACCGUGCAGAAUUUAUUAUAAACCGCAGUAGGAAAAUCGCAGUAGACACACGUGAAUUCUGGAGCCAGCCAUGGCAUGUACCACAGAGAAGUACACACCAUGUGAAAAAUAGCCAGGCCCUGCUAGAGGCAGAACCUCUGAUCCUGCUGACCGUGGGAUAUCAAGUGACUACGUGGCAGAAAUGUUCUAUUAUAUUUCUACUCAUGUGUAACGAAUUAUCACAAAUGUAACAGCUUAAGGGAACACAAAUUUAUUAGCUCAUAAAUACAUAGGUCAGAAGUCCAGCGUGGCUCAGAUGGGUUCCCCUCUUAGGGUAUCAUAAGGCCAAAAUCAAGAUGUUAGCCAGGCUGAGUUCUUUUUUUUUUUUUUUUUUUUUUCUUUUUGAGGGAGAGAGAAAGAGAGAGAGAGAGAACAGGGGAAGGGCAGAAAGAGAAUCUUAAGCAGAUUUCACACCCAGUGUGGAACCCAACCCACGCCGGGCUUGAUCUUAAGACCUUGAGAUCAUGACCUGAGCUGAAAUCAAGAGUUGGCCACUCAGCUGACUGAGUCACCUAUGCGCCCCCAGGCUGUUCUUAUCUGAAUUCAGGCUGUUGACCAAGUUUAGUUCUUUGUGGUUGUAGGACUGGUUUGUUUCUUUUUUAACAUUUUUUUAACAUUUACUUUUUUAAUAAAAUCUUUAAAGGUUUAUCUUCAAUUGAGAGAGAAUAUGAGCGGGGGAGGGGCAGAGAGAGAGGGAGGCACAGAAUCCGAAGCAGGCUCCAGGCUCUGAGCUGUGAGCACAGAGCCCCACAUGGGGCUCAAAUUCGUGAGCCGUGAGAUCACGACCUGAGCCAAAGUCGGACACUUAACCAACCGAGCCACGCAGGCGCCCCUGUAGGACUGUAUUUAUUGGCUGUCCACCACGGGCCUCUCUUAGCAUGUGAAGGUCACUGCGUUCCUUCUCAUGUGGCCCCCCCAUCCUCAAGCCAGCAGCACAUCGAACUCCUCUCAUAUUUCAAAUCUCUCUCAUUUUUUCUUUUGCUAUCAGCCAGAUAAAGCUCCCCAUUUCGAAAGGCUCAGGUCAUGAGAGCAGACCCACCCCAAUAAUCUUAUUUUACCAUCAAAUGUGCUAUAUAACAUAACAGAAUCACAGGAGGGAUAUCUUGUCAUAGUCACAUAUUCGCGCUAACAAUCCUCACUCGAGGGGUUAGGGCAGGACGUCUGGGGAGCCGUUUUGGAACUGGUCCCUACCACCACUGCCCAUCAUGAGCUGGGUUCUGGUCACGAACUGAUGAACUGAUUCAUGCCCAUCAUGAACUGAUUUGUCAGGGUCCUGGAAGGUGGACGGAUGAAAUAUCGGGCACAAGGAGGUCUCGGGUAGAGGCGUGUGGAUGAACCUACGAAGUGCGCGUUAAGCGUGAUGAUCAUUGAAUCAUAUGAAAGCCACCCCUUCCAGCUGAAAGCAUUCACCGUGGAAGAGGCACUGAAGAGCCAAGUACCCAAAAUGACUUGGGGGGUGGGGGGCGGUUGAGAUCAGUCAGCCUCUGUCAUCGGCCACUCCAGUACUGUCCAGUGAGUGUGUCAGUGAAGUAUCCCGAGUUCCAGGGAUGGAAGUCAUUUAUGAAACUGCCAACACACGCUCCCAGGCAUCGAGACGGAUCUAGCUACUGCGCCGCUAAAUAUCCAAUGCGCCGCCAAUAAGACCAAAGCUGAGCCCCUGAUAUAGCAUCAUCCUCCAAAGAGAGCAAUUCCGGGGAGGCAAACGAUCUUUGCGGGCCAUUAUCUGCUUAACACAGAUAAUGAGGGUCAGUUGCAGCUGUAAGACCAGUUUCAGCAGUGAGGUCUGUAGUUUUCUCUUGCUAACCUUUCUCUUGCCAGUUUUUCCCAAAAGGAAACUACCAAAGUCCUGAAGGAGCUGUGCCAAGAUGGGAUAAGCGAGUGGAACUGGCAGAUACAAGGAGCCGACUGCUGUGGUUACCAUGGCGCACCACCUGGGUCUCCCUUUCAGGACCCCUCAGCUGCCAGAGCUGUCGGCUUCUGAUAGCUCCCAACAGAGUCCCUGUCUGGAAUUGCCCCAGACUGAAUGAAGUGCCCUCCCCCCCCCCCCCCCGGAAAACCCACAUCCAAGAAAUAAUCAGUAUAGGAGUAUAAAGUCCUGGACCCCUUGCCUUAGGGCGGGACAUCCUGAAGAGCCAUCCAAGCUCCAGGGCUCCCGAUAGAAUCAGGAGGGUGAGGCCACUGCAGUGCGGUUCAACUUCCCCUCUGCACAAUCCAGCUUCCCUCCCUCCUUACAGAUUUUGUUGCUGAUAGUACUCCCCAGUAAACCCCCUGCACACAGAUCUCAGUCUGCUGUCUGAGAAACCUGACCAAAGGGACCUGCCUUUGUUUUUUAUAGAAGCUGUAUAGAAUAUCUAAAUAGGUGCCAGGAAGAUUAUCUCCAAAAUAAUGGCUUUGCAAUACAAUACAGUGAAACCUUGGAUUGCGAGUAACUUGUUCUGCGAGUGUUCCACAAGACAAGCAAACAUUUCUAAUCAAUUUUAACUUGAUUAACGAGCGAUGUCUUGCAAUACGAGUAGUACGUGAUGUCAAAUGUCCCACGAUCACAACUGAGCCAAUGGUUCUUCUCUUUCUCUCUCUCCUUCUACGGGAUUGUGGGUGAUCAUCUCCCAUGUUCAGAUGCUCGGUCUCAGGCUGCAGUGUUUGGCAGAAAUUAGUGAUUUUUCAGAACAUUGGAAGGUGCCCACAAUUGACAUUAGGGUAUUUUUUGUUACUUCAAAGCACCAGUGGAUGGUCCUUUGCUUUUCCAUACAAGAGUAAGCUUAGGAAUGCUUUGCUUCAUUCUAGGUCAGGCUGCCUGCAGAUAUAGACCCUUUCUUCUGCUGCCUUAUUGCCAGUUAUAUUAAAUACAGUAUAUGACAAGAGUUUCUUAAUACUGAACUGGGGCGCCUGGGUGGCUCAGUCGGUUGAGCGUAUGACUUCGGCUCAGGUCAUGAUCUCAUGGUCCGUGAGUUUGAGCCCCGCGUUGGGCUCUGUGCUGACAGCUCAGAGCCUGGAGCCUGCUUUGGAUUCUAUGCCUCCCUCUCUCUCUCUCUUGAUCCUCCCCCGUUCAUGCUCUGUCUCUCUCUGUCUCAAAAAUAAAUAAACAUUAAAAAAAUUUUAAUACUGUACUGUAGUCAACAUCCGUACAAGCAUAUACAAUGGCGCAGGAAAAGAUCCCAUUGAGCCAAUAGAUAGCAGUGGUUCCAUUAGUGAUAGUGAAAGUCUUCCUACAUAAUAACCCUCCUCUCUCAUCUCCCUCACACCAGCCAUGAAGGUUUUCAAAGGUAAGUGCAGGUUAAUUUGUUUACUUUUCUUUAUAUUUUGUAUUUUCUUUAUUAUUUUGUAUUAUAGUACAGUAUUGUAAUCAUUUUAUUUGAAUAUUUUGGGGUUGUGGGAUGAAUCAUCUGAGUUUCCAUUAUUUCUUAUGGGGAAAUUCGCCUUGAUAUACAAGUGCUUUGGAUAACAAGCAUGUUUCCAGAACAAAUUAUGCUCGCAAACCAAGGUUUUACUGUACCUCCAUUUUUACCAUGGCUGCCAGGAAGCUCAGAGCCCCAGCUGAGCAAUCACAGCAACCACUUUACAUUGGUUUAAAUUCCCAUUCCGUAGUACCUCUUUUUAAGCCAUAUUGGAAUGUGUUUAUUGUAAGCCACCUCAAGCUCUCUAUUAAAAGGGUCAGGGUAUAUAUGCAUUAUAAAUAGUAACCCACCUUGAUGGUAAAACCAGCACACCCUGACUGCUCUUAACACAUUAAGCGGUAUAAUUCUGCGAUUAGAGAAUUGGCUCCUUCUAGGUUUAGGGCUGAGCUUCUAUAUUAGGCUGAGCUUGAGCAAGUUACCUAACCUCUCUGAUGUGGUGAUGACCUAAAAACCAUGAAGCUAGCAACACCACCUCACAGGGCUAUUGUGAAGAUCAAUGAAAUAACAUUUAUAAAGCACCUGACACGUGAAGAUGCUCAGGUAACGACAGCUGUCAAAGACAGCAUCAGCAUCAGCACCAUCGUCCUUGUCAUCAACAAGGACAAUAGUGACAUGAACAAUGAAUAGAGAAUGGACGUUGCUGUUUUAGGCCCCUUUGGGCAAAAGAAUGGCAAACAAGCCUUUGAUGAAGUUACCAUGGGAUGAAAAUAGUUUGGGGAUCCAAAUCCUGAAGUAGCUGAGCCCCUGGGAACCCUGAGUUCCCAAGUUCCAUCAAAGGGCCAUGAGUGGUUCAUGUUUGGAGGCCAUCAUUGAUUUUGCAGAUGAUAAAAUGGUGGCCAUGCAACAUAUUCUAGUCUUCCUGGAGUGAUGGGCUGUGGCCUUAAUUGGCAGCUGUUCUGACGUGUGUGGGGUGGGCUUGGAUCCCUGCUCUGUGCUAUCAUUGUAUCUGGACUUCCCCCAUCACCACCCUGCCUAUGAUCGCCUCUUGUGGACUACGUCCCCCAGGAGGCUGUGAGCUGCUCUGUGGAGGCAAAGUGUUUUUGUCUUAUUCACUAUUGUAUCCCCUGGAUCUAGCACAGCACCUGACAACAUAGGAGGUGCCGAUUAAAUAUUUGUUCAACAAAUGAA